AAGGAAUAUUGGUCAAUGGACGAAAGUCUGAACCAGCCAUGCCGCGUGGAGGAUGAAGGUCCUCUGGAUUGUAAACUUCUUUUAUCUGGGACGAAAAAAGGUCUUUCUAGAUCGUCUGACGGUACCAGAUGAAUAAGCACCGGCUAACUCCGUGCCAGCAGCCGCGGUAAUACGGAGGGUGCAAGCGUUAUCCGGAUUCACUGGGUUUAAAGGGUGCGUAGGUGGGUUGGUAAGUCAGUGGUGAAAUCUUCGAGCUUAACUCGGAAACUGCCAUUGAUACUAUCAGUCUUGAAUAUUGUGGAGGUUAGCGGAAUAUGUCAUGUAGCGGUGAAAUGCUUAGAUAUGACAUAGAACACCAAUUGCGAAGGCAGCUGGCUACACAUAUAUUGACACUGAGGCACGAAAGCGUGGGGAUCAAACA
rnacentral:rRNA from 1 species